AGCAGCCGCGGUAAUUCUAGCUCCAAUAGCGUAUAUUAAAGUUGUUGCAGUUAAAAAGCUCGUAGUUGAAUUUCGGGAUCAAUAUGUUGGUCGUGCCUUGGGUACGUACUAGUUUAUUGGUUUCUUCCUUCUGACGAACCAUGAUGUCAUUAAUUUGGUGUCUUGGGGAAUCAGGACUGUUACUUUGAAAAAAUUAGAGUGUUUAAAGCAGGCUCACGCUUGAAUACAUUAGCAUGGAAUAAUGAAAUAGGACGUUUGAUUCUAUUUUGUUGGUUUCUAGGAUCGACGUAAUGAUUAAUAGGGGUAGUUGGGGGCAUUAGUAUUCAAUUGUCAGAGGUGAAAUUCUUGGAUUUAUUGAAGACUAACUACUGCGAAAGCAUUUGCCAAGGAUGUUUUCAUUAAUCAAGAACGAAAGUUAGGGGAUCGAAGACGAUCAGAUACCGUCGUAGUCUUAACCAUAAACUAUGCCGACUAGGGAUCGGAUGAUGUAAUUUUUAAUGACUCAUUCGGCGCCUUACGG
rnacentral:rRNA from 1 species